CAAGGCAGUUAAAAUGCUUUGUAAUUGGAAUGAUAGAAAUUUAAACCCUUUUUAAAGUAUCAAUUGGAGGGCAAGUCUGGUGCCAGCAGCCGCGGUAAUUCCAGCUCCAAUAGCGUAUAUUAAAAUUGUUGCAGUUAAAAAGCUCGUAGUUGAAGUUCUGCUAAAAGUAACCGGUCUGCUUUUAAUAAAAGUGGUAUCUUGGUGUGUAUUUAGCAAUGAUGUCCUUUGAAGUGUUUUUUACUUUAUUGUAAUAAAGCAUAUUCAGGGCUUUUACUUUGAGAAAAUUAGAGUGUUUCUAGCAGGCCAACGCUUUGAAUACUGCAGCAUGGAAUAAUAAGAUAGGAUUUUAGUUCUACAUUAUUGGUUUUAAGAGCUAAAUUAAUGAUUGAUAGGGACAGUUGGGGGCAUUUGUAUUUAACUGUCAGAGGUGAAAUUCUUAGAUUUGUUAAAGACAAACUACUGCGAAAGCAUUUGCCAAAGAUGUUUUCAUUAAUCAAGAAC
rnacentral:rRNA from 1 species